rnacentral:tRNA from 1 species
GCCGGAUGAGCAAUAAUGGUGAUGCAGCUGCCUUGUAAGCAGAAGAACAGGGUUCAAGUCCUUGAUCCGGCACCA